CCAUGGCAGGAGAAAAAAGUCAAUUUUUUCUUGUCCCCUAAGGUGAAAAUACACAUUGUUGAAUGUCACGCCUGUACGCUUUGUCAUAUUGACACAAAAUUUGACAAUCACGUGUAUCUCAAUAAGAUCUACGAAAAAGUCAAUGCGAGCGUAUCUGUAAAAUGUACGGUUAAAGGGCUAUUUCGCAUUUUUUGCCGAUUCGUACACAUUGGAAUGUGGCUAACUCCUCCUAAGGCUUUCGUCCCACUGACACCAAAUUUGCUCAGGCCAAUCUACACCCCAUGGCCAUUCAAAGUUGUAAAAAUCAUGACGCUGCACCCCAUGGUCUACGUUCUAGGGGGCGCCAAAGAGGACCCAAAUAUCCACAUUUUUAGAAGUCUUAUAACUUUUUAUUUUUGUCCUCACUGGCCUCCAAGUUUUCUAGGAUGAUGCAAUGUCCAGCCAUCAACACAUUUGUGAAGGAAUUUUUUCUCCCCAAAAGAGCGCCCCCCCAUGGCAGGAGAAAAAGUCAAGUUUUUCCUGCCCAUCGCUCAAUGGCUCAAACGCAUCGCUCUCUCGGCAAAACCGAAAGGAGGAGCAACUUGCCAUUUGGAUAUAUACUAGCUGUGUUUGUGCCCUCACUCAUGGUCCAGACUUUUUUCAAAAAGGACAUGGAGUUUGUCUGCAGCGAGCGUUUUGGUAGAAACUGCGCCUCCCAUUCAUUAUAAUGGUAAAUGACCACAGACAAGUGCGCACACCAUCUUUGGACCUUGAGUGUGACGCGAUCGGGAGGGGUAGGCGGUCGCGCUGGGGGCGGCGUGACACGGCUCGGGCCCGCCAGUGCCCCACCGGGGCCCUAGUUUGUUAUUAUUAUUAUUAUUAUUAUUAUUAUUAUUAUUUUCCCUCCGCUUUAAACUGGAAAAUGGCCCACUUCCCACUGGCGAAAACUCAUGAAAUUUGGCAGGACGACCGGGCCUGGUAAAAAAUUCGAUAUUCUGAAGUUGCCCAAACAAUAAAAUGCAAAAUGGCUCCAUAGCGCCCCCUAAGGUGAAAAUUCACACUAUUGACUGUCACGCCUUUACGCUUUGUCAUAUUGACACAAAAAUUGACACACACAUGUAUCUCAAUAAGAUCUACAAAAAAGUCAGUGCGGGCGUAUCUGUCAAAUGUACGGUUAAAGGGUUAUUUCGCAUUUUUUGCCGAUCCACACACAUUGGAAUUUCGCUAACUCCUCCGAAGGCUUUCGUUCCAAUGGCACCACAUUUGCUCAGGCCAAUCUACACCCCAUGGCCAUUAAAAGUUGUACAAAUCAUGACGCUGCACCCCACGGUUUACGUUCUAGGGGGCGCCAAAGAUAACCCAAAAAUCCACAGUCUUAAAAGUCUUAUAACUUUUUAUUUUUGUCCUCACUGGCCUCCAAGUUCUCUAGGAUGAUGCAAUGUCCAGCCAUCAACACAUUUGUGAAGGAAUUUUUACUCCCCAAAAGAGCGCCCCCCAAUGGCAGGAGAAAAAAGUCCAUUUUUUCUUGUCUCCUAAGGCGAAAAUACACAUUGUUGACUGUCACGCCUUUACGCUUUGUCAAAAUGACACAAAAAUUGACACACACAUGUAUCUCAAUACGAUCUACGAAAAAGUCAAUGCGAGCGUAUCUGUUCAAUGUACGGUUAAAGGGCUAUUUCGCAUUUUUUGCCGAUUUGCACACAUUGGAAUGUGGCUAACUCCUCCUAAGGCUUUCAUCCCACUGACACCAAAUUUGCUCAGGUCAAUCUACACCCCAUGGCCAUUCAAAGUUGUACAAAUCAUGACGCUGCACCCCACGGUUUAUGUUCUAGGGGGCGCCAAAGAGGCCCCAAAUAUCCACAUUUUUAGAAGUCUUAUAACUUUUUAUUUUUGUCCUCACUGGCCUCCAAGUUUUCUAGGAUGAUGCAAUGUCCAGCCAUCAACACAUUUGUGAGGGAAUUUUUACUCCCCAAAAGAGCGCCCCCCCCAUGGCAGGAGAAAAAGUCAAGUUUUUCCUGCCCAUCGCUUAAUGGCUCAAACGCAUCGCUCUCUCGGCAAAACGGAAAGGAGGAGCAACUUGCCAUUUGGAUAUAUACUAGCUGUGUUUGUGCCCUCACUCAUGGUCCAGACUUUUUUCAAAAAGGACAUGGAGUUUGUCUGCAGCGAGCGUUUUGGUAGAAACUGCGCCUCCCAUUCAUUAUAAUGGUAAAUGACCACAGACAAGUGCGCACACCAUCUUUGGACCUUGAGUGUGACGCGAUCGGGAGGGGUAGGCGGUCGCGCUGGGGGCGGCGCGACACGGCUCGGGCCCGCCAGUGCCCCAACAGGGCCCUAGUUAUUAUUUUUCCUCCCCUUUGAACUGGAAAAUGGCCCACUUCCCACUGGCGAAAACUCAUGAAAUUUGGCAGGACGACCGGGCCUGGUGAAAAAUUUGAUAUUCCGAAGUCGCCCAAACAAGAAAAUGCAAAAUGGCUCCAUAGCGCCCCCUAAGGUGAAAAUUCACACUAUUGACUGUCACGCCUGUACGCUUUGUCAAAAUGACACAAAAAUUGACACACACAUGUAUCUCAAUAAGAUCUACAAAAAAGUCAGUGCGGGCGUAUCUGUCAAAUGUACGGUUAAAGGGUUAUUUCGCAUUUUUUGCCGAUCCGCACACAUUGGAAUUUCGCUAACUCCUCCGAAGGCUUUCGUUCCACCGGCACCACAUUUGCUCAGGCCAAUCUACACCCCAUGGCCAUUCAAAGUUAUUCAAAUCAUGACGCUGCACCCCACGGUUUAGGUUCUAGGGGGCGCCAAAGAUAACCCUAAGAUCCACAUAUUUAAAAUUCUUAUAACUUUUUAUUUUUGUCCCCACUGGCCUCCAAGUUUUCUAGGAUGAUGCAAUGUCCAGCCAUCAACACAUUUGUGAAGGAAUUUUUACUCCCCAAAAGAGCGCCCCACCAUGGCAGGAGAAAAAAUUCCAUUUUUUCUUGUCCCCUAAGGUGAAAAUACACAUUGUUGAGUGUAACACCUGUACGCUUUGGCAAAAUGACACCAAAAUUGACACACACAUGUAUCUCAAUAAGAUCUUCGAAAAAGUCAAUGGCCACGUAUCUGUCAAAUGUACGGUUAAAGGGUUAUUCCGCAUUUUUUGCCGAUCCGCACACAUUGGAAUUUCGCUAACUCCUCCGAAGGCUUUCGUUCCACCGGCACCACAUUUGCUCAGGCCAAUCUACACCCCAUGGCCAUUAAAAGUUAUUCAAAUCAUGACGCUGCACCCCACGGUUUAGGUUCUAGGGGGCGCCAAAGAUAACCCUAAAAUCCACAUAUUUCAAAGUCUUAUAACUUUUUAUUUUUGUCCUCACUGGCCUCCAUGUUUUCUAGGAUGAUGCAAUGUCCAGCCAUCAACACAUUUGUGAAGGAGUUUUUUCUCGUUAAAAGAGCGCCCCCCCAUGGCAGGAGAAUAAAGUCAAGUUUUUCCUGUUCAUCAUUCAAUGGCUCAAACGCACUGCUCUCUCGGCAAAAGCGAAAGGAGGAGCAACUUGCCAUUUGGAUAUAUCUUAGCUGUGUUUGUGACCUCACUCAUGGUCCAGACUUUUUUCAAAUAGGACAUGGAGUUUUUCUGCAGCGAGCGUUUUGGUAGAAACUGCGCCUCCCGUUCAUUAUAAUGGUAAAUGACCACAAACAAGUGCGCACACCAUCUUUGAACCUUGAGUGUGACGCGAUCGGGUGGGGGAGGCGGUCGCGCUGGGGGCGGCGUGACACGGCUCGGGCCCGCCAGUGCCCCAACGGGGCCCUAGUUCCUGAUGGAUUCUUCUUUCGUUAUUUUUCCUCCGCUUUAAACUGGAAAAUGGCCCACUUCCCACUGACGAAAACUCAGGAAAUUUGGCAGGACGACCGGGCCUGGUGAAAAAUUUGAUAUUCUGAAGUCGCCCAAACAAAAAAAUGAAAAAUGGCUCCAUAGCGCCCCCUAUGGUGAAAAUUCACACUAUUGACUGUCACGCCUGUACGCUUUGUCAAAAUGACACAAAAAUUGACACACACAUGUAUCUCAAUAAGAUCUACAAAAAAGUCAGUGCGGGCGUAUCUGUCAAAUGUACGGUUAAAGGGUUAUUUCGCAUUUUUUGCCGAUCCGCACACAUUGGAAUUUCGCUAACUCCUCCGAAGGCUUUCGUUCCACCGGCACCACAUUUGCUCAGGCCAAUCUACACCCCAUGGCCAUUAAAAGUUAUUCAAAUCAUGACCCUGCACCCCACGGUUUAGGUUCUAGGGGGCGCCAAAGAUAACACUAAAAUCCACAUAUUUAAAAGUCUUAUAACUUUUUAUUUUUUGCCCUCACUGGCCUCCAAGUUUUCUAGGAUGAUGCAAUGUCCAGCCAUCAACACAUUUGUGAAGGAAUUUUUACUCCCCAAAAGAGCGCCCCCCCAUGGCAGGAGAAAAAAGUCCAUUUUUUCUUGUCCCCUAAGGUGAAAAUACACAUUGUUGAGUGUCACGCCUGUACGCUUUGUCAAAAUGACACAAAAAUUGACACACACAUGUAUCUCAAUAAGAUCUACAAAAAAGUCCAUGCGCGCGUAUCUGUAUAAUGUACGGUAAAAGGGCUAUUUUGCAUUUUUUGCCGAUUCGCACACAUUGGAAUUUCGCUAACUCCUCCUAAGGCUUUCGUCCCACUGACACCAAAUUUGCUCAGGCCAAUCUACACUCCAUGGCCAUUCAAAGUUGUAAAAAUCAUGACGCUGCACCCCACGGUUUACGUUUUAGGGGGCGCCAAAGAUGACCCAAAUAUACCUUACAGUUGACAAAGUAGUUUUGCCCACUGAGUGGCGCCAAAGGGACUUGUCUGUGGAGUCUGUGAGUCACUAUUGGCCGUUUUUGACUACUUUAGAUUUUACCUUUAUAUUUCCUCUUAGAAAAUUUUUACCUUGCCUUGCCUGGUAUCAUUUUUUUCAGCACAACCUCACCUGUGUCAAUUUACAGUUAUUUUAUCAUUUUGACAUACUAUAUUUACACAUUGGACCCAAAUUCACACACAAAACAUAAAAUCCGAGUGGAAAAAAGUAACGUUUUUACUGUGAAAACCACAAAUAUGUGUGAUGAACUGUUUUUAAAACUUAAACUUCAAAUAAAAAUUGUAAACUUCAAAACAUAUGCAAAUUUUUAACAAAGAACAUAGUAAUUUACCUCUAUUUACAUCAAAAUGCAGGCAAUGGCCCAGGUGUUCUUUGUAAAAUUAUUUACAAAACACUGUAUAGUCUCACAAAUGUCACUUUUUAUUUAUGCCACUACAAAAAAACAUGAUGUAAAUGAUGCAUGAUGUAAAACAUGAUGUAAAAAACUUGUGUAGAUCCUCCUCUAUGUUAGUCCAUGUGUAAUUUUUCCAUAAUUCUUUGUUUUUUGCAGCAUUUUUGUUAGUGUAACUGCAGAUUGUGCUGACAGUGUCUAUGGCAAAAAAAAAAAAAAAAACUGAAAAUGCCUCAACAUGAACCCCUGGUGGUCUCUGAGGGUGAAACCUGCUAACUGCUGCAGCUCUGUCAGCUUCAGUCUCCCAUGCAGAGCUCGGAGCGCAUGUGUGGCUCUGCACCCUUAGCAGCGUUGCUAACUCCUCAGUAAGGAAAGCCUGCUUCAUGUCAGAGUCUCUAAACUCCAGAAGAAGUCGAUAAAAGUCACUUUCUUUCUAAAAAAAAGUCGUUAGGGGGUCUGAAAAGUCAUUGAAUCUAACAACAAAGUCGCUAGGUUUGCAACUACGUGUCCCAGACUGCAUCCCUGCUGAGAGUCCCUCCCUCCCUUCUCAUAUUGCAGGAAGAACGUAAGCGCCCGCCCCUUGUCAAUCAGUCACCAGAUAAUUUUGGAUUGGUUGUUGUGGUGAAGUUUUCCACCAAUAGGAGAGAUGUUGUGGUGUGUUUUUUUUUCCUUUGGCAAGCCUUUUCCGCUGUAAGACCUGUCGCUAAUGUCUGCAUGCUAUGUUUUCCUGUCUCAUACAGCGCGAUCGAGCGCCGAACGUGAUCAAAAUAAGCUGAAAACAAGUAUCGCGGACAUAAUUUAUCAUAACUCUGGUUUUAUUUGGCCUAUCAACACAAUUUAAAAACUGGUAUAUAGGUUGAGGUCCUCACUUUUGAGAUAAGUUGAAACGGAGAGUCAAUGAGGCUCCGUCUUGCAGCUACAUCCGGUUAAAUAUGUCAUGUGACUUGAACGCACACACACACACACACACACACACACACACACACACACACACACAGACACACACACACACGCAUACACACACACCCAGAGUCUGGUUUUUAGCACCUGCAAAAACAUGCUAUUUACGUAUUUGACAAGAAUGCAGAGGCUCCUUUUGCCCCUGAAAAAAAUCAGAUUUCAAACACAACUUGACUGGUCAUUUCUCCAAAAGACAACCAUGAAGCUCCAUCCAAACCUGAAGCAGGCAGUUGGUGCAUGUGUACAGUAACCUGAGGGGAGUGAGGUGACUGCUUCUGAGGAGAACAUGAGCAGUGAAGAUUCACCUUAGAGCUAGAACAGAGACGUGCACAUGAUUAUACAGGGGCAGGGGCUCAAGUUUUUUCCAGUUGUUUAUACAAUAUGGAAAUUAAUGUGAAAUUAAAAAACAAAGUAUUAAUAGAAAGGUAAUGACUGUCCUGUGUAGGUGACAGUGAUAUCCAAUAGGCUAGGCACUCACGAGGCUGGCUGUGGCAAGUGUAAGUGAAAGCAACACGCACUGGCAGGAAGAACAGCAAACGCCGAUGAAGGAAAAGGGUCUUUGCAGUGAUGGGCGUUACCAGAGAGGGCGAUGGCCAGAGGACGCGAAUGGGACGGGGAGGCAGCGCGUUGGGGGGGGGACGCGACACAGCUCGGGCCCGCCAGUGCCCCAACGGGGUCCUAGUUAGGGCCCGAGCCAGCUGCAGAGCAGCCGGGCGUAGGCCCUAUUAUUCCCCAAGUGGUUUUUCUUUGUUUCUUUAGGGCCCGAGCGUAGCUGCUAAGCAGCUGCGAGAGCCCUCUUGUUCCUGAUGGAUUCUUCUUUCGUUAUUUUUCCUCCGCUUUAAACUGGAAAAUGGCCCACUUCCCACUGGCGAAAACUCAGGAAAUUUGGCAGGACGACCGGGCCUGGUGAAAAAUUCGAUAUUCUGAAGUCGCCCAAACAAAAAAAUGAAAAAUGGCUCCAUAGCGCCCCCUAUGGUGAAAACUCACCUGACGCCUGUACGCUUUGUCAAAAUGACACAAAAUUUGACACACAUGUGUAUCUCAAUAAGAUCUACAAAAAAGUCAGUGCGGGCGUAUCUGUCAAAUGUACGGUUAAAGGGCUAUUUCGCAUUUUUUGCCGAUCCGCACACAUUGGAAUUUCGCUAACUCCUCCGAAGGCUUUCGUUCCACCGGCAACAAAUUUGCUCAGGACAAUCUACACCCCAUGGCCAUUCAAAGUUGUACAAAUCAUGACGCUGCACCCCACGGUUUACAUUCUAGGGGGCGCCAAAGAUAACCCAAAAAUCCACAGUCUUAAAAGUCUUAUAACUUUUUAUUUUUGUCCUCACUGGCCUCCAAGUUUUCUAGGAUGAUGCAAUGUCCAGCCAUCAACACAUUUGUGAAGAAAUUUUUACUCCCCAAAAGAGCGCCCCCCAUGGCAGGAGAAAAAAGUCCAUUUUUUCUUGUCCCCUAAGGUGAAAAUACACAUUGUUGAGUGUCAUGCCUGAACGCUUUGUCAUAUUGACACAAAAUUUGACACACACGUGUAUCUCAAUAAGAUCUACGAAAAAGUUAAAGAACGCGUAUCUGUCAAAUGUACGGUUAAAGGGCUAUUUCGCAUUUUUUGCGGAUCCGCACACAUUGGAAUUUCGCUAACUCCUCCGAAGGCUUUCGUUCCACCGGCACCAAAUUUGCUCAGGCCAAUCUACACCCCAUGGCCAUUAAAAGUUGUACAAAUCAUGACGCUGCACCCCACGGUUUAGGUUCUAGGGGGCGCCAAAGAUA
rnacentral:lncRNA from 1 species